rnacentral:tRNA from 1 species
GCAGUCGUGGGCGAGUGGUUAAGACGUUGGACUAGAAAUCCAUUGGGGUCUCCCCGCACAGGUUCGAAUCCUGUCGACUGCG